rnacentral:misc_RNA from 1 species
GCAAACUUGGUCAUUUAGAGGAAGUAAAAGUCGUAACAAGGUUUCCGUAGGUGAACCUGCGGAAGGAUCAUUAAACAGAGAAUGAGCUGUUCGCCCCGCGGCGUUCAACUUGAAACACACACCCCGCGUACCUCUCCUCUUUUGCUUCCCCGGGGCCCUCGCCGGCACCGGGGGAGGUCACGGGGGUCCGCCCGCUCCUGGCGGUCGGCCCCACGAUGCCCUUUCAAUUCUCAGUCUGGAUGUCUUGUCUGAAUGCGCGUGAGCGAAUUAAAAUCUCAAAACUUUCAACAACGGAUCUCUUGGUUCUCGCAUCGAUGAAGAACGCAGC